GUUCAAACCACAAGUGGAUUCAUUUAGUUUUACCAGAAACUGCUGCAUCACUGUAAUGUACGGAAGAAGUCUGCCCCCGUCAGACACUUUGCAUUGGCAGCACAUGCUUCAGUUGUCUGGGAGUUUUUAAUAGUUCAGUGAGUUUGAAGACUGAAGACUGAGAACUUCUUCAUCCAGAAUCUAAAUCCACAGUAAUCAUGACUGUCAUCACCAUCUUCAUCUGGAUGUUAACUAGCUGCUGUUUUAGAGAAUCAAGAGGUUCAGUGACAGUCACUCAAACACCUGCAGUGAAAUCUGUUCAUCUCAGGGACACAUUUACUAUCUCGCCAUACAGUGAACCAGACGCUGCUAAUGAAAAAGUCUUUUAUACAAGCUCCAUUAUCAUAGAACUGUAUGAGUGGUUUGAGGAACCAGAUCAGUACAUGAUUGGAGAAACUGGAACCAUGUCAGACCUUAAAAAAGGCACUUAUCAAGAACCACAGAGGUCAACUAGAUGAGAAGUUGACACAAGCUGAUGCUGCAAACAAUGCCUUCACCAUAGUGUCAACCACAGAGAUCUCCAUUCCUACAUUCAUCCAGAAUUUUAAAGCCUGUGCUCCUUUUGAAUGUUGUUUCAGAAUAUUUUGCUGCAUUAUAUAAAAGUGGUCAUGCAGCUUAGAGCUCAAGUUAAUUGAUUUCAGUUUACAUGAGCUUGUUAUAUUUCAGACCAUACAGUAAAACAGAAGAUAAGUUGACUUUUGUGUUACAUUGCAAUAAGUCACUGGAGGAAAAAUGAUGAUGAAAGCCAGUUUCCUGUGGAAGAGAUCCCCGGUUCAUCUGGCCUGAACCAAACAGAUGUAGAUCAAACUCGUUUCAAGCCAAAUGAAGGCAAAUCUACAGUUCAGUCCUGUUUUUAUUCUAUUUUUUUCCCUUUGCCAACUACGUCCUGCUCCUUCGGAUUUCAGAAUGUACUUUCUUUAAGAUCCAUAUUCUUUAAAAUGAAUGUGGGGUUACUUCUACUUAUGAAGAAGCUUCCUGUCAGUGCAUGAUAUUGAUCUAUGAAAGGUUUGAAGAGCCACAGCAGAACAUCAUGAAUCUGGAGAGACCAAAACAGUGUCAGACCAUAAGGGACUUUAUCAAGAACCACAGAAGUCAACUAGAUAGAGAAGUUAGCACAUUUGCCUUCAGCAUGGUGCCCACCACAAGGAUCUGCAUUCAGGCAGAUCCCUGCUCAGAAGAGGGAUAUUUUUCUCGUUUUUUAUUUUUAAUAAAUUU